rnacentral:rRNA from 1 species
UACGUAGGGUGCGAGCGUUGUCCGGAAUUAUUGGGCGUAAAGGGCUCGUAGGCGGUCUGUCGCGUCGGGAGUGAAAACUCAGGGCUUAACCCUGAGCCUGCUUCCGAUACGGGCAGACUAGAGGUAUGCAGGGGAGAACGGAAUUCCUGGUGUAGCGGUGGAAUGCGCAGAUAUCAGGAGGAACACCGGUGGCGAAGGCGGCCAUCUGGACAGAUACUGACGCUGAGACGCGAAAGCGUGGGGAGCAAACAGG